GGAUGAACGCUGGCGGCGUGCUUAACACAUGCAAGUCGAACGAAGCACUUUAUUUGAUUUCCUUCGGGACUGCUUAUUUUGUGACUGAGUGGCGGACGGGUGAGUAACGCGUGGGUAACCUGCCUUGUACAGGGGGAUAACAGUUGGAAACGGCUGCUAAUACCGCAUAAGCGCACGGCAUCGCAUGAUGCAGUGUGAAAAACUCCGGUGGUAUAAGAUGGACCCGCGUUGGAUUAGCUAGUUGGUGAGGUAACGGCCCACCAAGGCGACGAUCCAUAGCCGACCUGAGAGGGUGACCGGCCACAUUGGGACUGAGACACGGCCCAAACUCCUACGGGAGGCAGCAGUGGGGAAUAUUGCACAAUGGGCGAAAGCCUGAUGCAGCGACGCCGCGUGAGCGAAGAAGUAUUUCGGUAUGUAAAGCUCUAUCAGCAGGGAAGAUAAUGACGGUACCUGACUAAGAAGCACCGGCUAAAUACGUG
rnacentral:rRNA from 1 species